rnacentral:rRNA from 1 species
GACGAACGCUGGCGGCGUGCUUAACACAUGCAAGUCGAACGGAAAGGCCCUGCUUUUGUGGGGUGCUCGAGUGGCGAACGGGUGAGUAACACGUGAGUAACCUGCCCUUGACUUUGGUAUAACUUCAGGAAACUGGGGCUACUACCGGAUAGGAGCUCCUGCUGCAUGGUGGGGGUUGGAACGUUUCGGCGGUUGGGGAUGGACUCGCGGCUUAUCAGCUUGUUGGUGGGGUAGUGGCUUACCAAGGGUUUGACGGGUAGCCGGCCUGGGAGGGUGACCGGCCACAUUGGGACUGAGAUACGGCCCAGACGCCUACGGGAGGCAGCAGUGGGGAAUAUGGCACAAUGGGCGGAAGCCUGAUGCAGCAACGCCGCGUGCGGGAUGACGGCCUUCGGGUUGUAAACCGCUUUCGCCUGUGACGAAGCGUGAGUGACGGUAAUGGGUAAAGAAGCACCGGCUAACUACGUG